UUGAACGCUGGUGGAAUGCUUUACACAUGCAAGUCGAGCGGCAGCGCGGGGCAACCUGGCGGCGAGCGGCGAACGGGUGAGUAACACAUCGGAACGUACCCAAUCGUGGGGGAUAACACAUCGAAAGAUGUGCUAAUACCGCAUAAGUCCUGAGGGAGAAAGCGGGGGAUCAGCAAUGACCUCGCGCGGAUGGAGCGGCCGAUGUCGGAUUAGCUAGUUGGUGGGGUAAAGGCCUACCAAGGCGACGAUCCGUAGCGGGUCUGAGAGGACGGCCCGCCACACUGGAACUGAGACACGGUCCAGACUCCUACGGGAGGCAGCAGUGGGGAAUUUUGGACAAUGGGCGCAAGCCUGAUCCAGCCAUUCCGCGUGAGUGGAGAAGGCCUUCGGGUUGUAAAACUCUUUCGGCAGGAACGAAACGGUGAGCUCUAACAUAGCUUGCUAAUGACGGUACCUGAAGAAGAAGCACUGGCUAACUACGU
rnacentral:rRNA from 1 species